AUGCAAGGAGCACAGCGUCGUCCUCGCACUGCAUUCCCUCCAGCGGGAGCUGCUCCUUGGCCCAUGGCAGCUGCAGAAACCCCAAAUCGGGGCAGCGAGCCCCACAUCAGCACUGAGAUGUGGGAUGUGCCCAAAGCCUGGCUCCUGAGUUCUGCCGAGAUCCAGAGGGUCUUACAGGACACAGGACCCCCAGGCAUCACCCACAUGAUCGGGCAGCGGCUCUGCAGGAACAGCCACGCUGUCUCCAUGCACGGUGACACUGUGACACAUCUCCACCCGCCCCUGCACAGUGCCAUCCCCUAUGCUUUGGGGGGAGUUCAUCCACCCAUGCCCUCAGUUUUGCCAGGUCUCAGCCAUGGGGUGGCACAGCACGUCCCUCCAAGGGUUAAAGGCUUCCAAGCCCCCAUCCCACAAAGCAAAAAGGUUUCACUGCUUUUAACCCCUUCUCCGUCCCUUCUUUGCCCCCUGGGAGCUUUUUGCUGCUGUGAAGCAGCGCAGGUGGAUUCGGUCUGGUUUUGGUUAAGGGCAAAGCUUUGUAGGAGCAGGCAGGGUGAUUUGAAUAACAGCACUAAUUGGAUUUUAAAAGCACAGCCCCCAAAACUGAGGCUGCAAGCGCUGGGACAAAGCAAACGUGCUCACGGAAACCCAGCAGAGCACGGCGGUGAGACCCAGCCGUGCCGUGCCAUGCGCAGGGCUGCGUCCCCUCAUCCCACGGGGGGCUCCUUCCCCAUGGGGCCAAGCGCUGAACCCCAAAAAGCACAGAGGGGAUCUCUGUGCCCCACGCCUGUGCCCACAGUCACCUGGCGUGCGGGGCUGGCUGUAACGCUGCCUCCAUCGCCUUUAUCUGCCUGCACGCAGAUGAGUGCCCGAGCGCAACUUCGCGCUCCAAAAAGCCCAAGUUGUCUCCACCUGGCAGGCGCAAUGGAAAAACCACCGAGACCUUCUCCUUCCAGCUCCCGGCCGUGUGGAGCUGAAGGGAUGGUUCCCUGCGAGGUGGCCCGUGCCCAGCAGCGCGGCUGCGGGGUGGGAAACCACAGCCCCCCAAAGAGCCCCGAUCCUGCUGGAGGCAGAGCAGAGCCCUUGGAGAGCCCCAGAGAACGGGGAAAGCACCAACCUGGGGAGAGCCUGGAGCUUUUCCCUGGUCCCGUGGAUAGGAUUUGGGGGCACUGUACCACUAAGAGCAUCCCUGUGCUUUGUGGUGCCAGGGAUGGGGUUGGUGCUGCUCCGGUGCCAUGCACAGCAGCAGCAGUGGUGACACAAAUCCUAAAUCUCACCCUCGGCUGCGUGCCCUGA
rnacentral:lncRNA from 1 species